rnacentral:rRNA from 1 species
UACGGGGGGGGCAAGCGUUGUUCGGAAUUACUGGGCGUAAAGGGUUUGUAGGUGGCUUGUUAAGUCAGACAUGAAAUCCCUCAGCUUAACUGGGGAACUGCGUCUGAUACUGGCGAGCUUGAGUGCAGGAGAGGAACGCGGAAUUCCAGGUGUAGCGGUGAAAUGCGCAGAUAUCGGGAAGAACACCCGUGGCGAAGGCGGCUCUCUGGGACGGUACUGACGCUGAGACGCGAAAGCGUGGGGAGCGAACAGG